CUGCCAAUGAAGUUUGAAUGGCUGCAGUAUUUUGACUGUGCUAAGGUAGCAUAAUAAUUUGCUUUUUAAUUGGUUGCUGGAAUGAAUGAUUUACUAAUUUGUGGUUGGUCUUAUAAAUUAGUUAAUAAUUUGUGUGGCAAGUAAGAACACUUGUAUAAAAUAAUGGGACGAUAAGACCCUAAAAGUUUUAUAUGAAAUAGGUUAUUUAAUGUGAAUUAUAUAUUUAGCUGGGGUAGUGAUUUAGAAAAAAUCUUUAUAAAGUAAAACUUAAAUGAAGGUUUGUGAUCUUUUAUAUAAAGAUAAAUAGAGAAAAUUACUUUAGGGAUAACAGCAUAAUAGUUUUAGGGAGAUCGUAUUUAUAAAACUGAUUGUGACCUCGAUGUUGAAUUAAAAAUUCUAUAUAGAGCAGAAGAGAUAAAAGAGGGUUUGUUCAACCUUUAAAUUUUUACGUGAUCUGAGU
rnacentral:rRNA from 1 species